rnacentral:rRNA from 1 species
UACGUAGGGGGCAAGCGUUGUCCGGAAUCAUUGGGCGUAAAGAGCGUGUAGGCGGCUUGGUAAGUCCGCUGUGAAAGUCCAGGGCUCAACCCUGGAAUGCCGGUGGAAACUGUCAAGCUUGAGUCCGGAAGAGGCGAGUGGAAUUCCUGGUGUAGCGGUGAAAUGCGCAGAUAUCAGGAGGAACACCAAUGGCGAAGGCAGCUCGCUGGGACGGUACUGACGCUGAGGUGCGAAAGCGUGGGGAGCAAACAGG